rnacentral:lncRNA from 1 species
AUCAUACAUCAUACAUAGUAUUAAAGUUCGAAACCAAUGUUUAGAUGUUCGGAUGUUCAGAAAGUGACGUCACCCAAAUUUUUUUUUCUCUUGACGUCAUUCAUCUAAAAUCAGCUAGUCAAAUUCCUCAGUCUGGAAACGAACGCGCAGUAAAGCGGACGUAUGAAAAUCGCGCUCCGCAGAUUUCGAGUAACGGGUUCUCUACCUCCUGGAUCCGGCGCUCCGGAUCCGCUACCUGGUGAAACUCGACUUCCAGAACAAGCGCUCCGUAGUUCUGGCUGUCCAGGUUCUCCACCUGGUGGAUUUUGACAUCCAGGAAAAGCGCUCCGUAGUUCUGGCUGUCCAGGUCCUUGACCUGAUGACUCUUGACCUUCCGGACUAAUUUUCAAGUUUACAAGUUUAAUUAUCGAAAACGUCACGUUUUUUACUAUCAAACCAAUAUGCAUGUUACAGAUAACAUUUUGAAUCGGAAAAAAAACCGAAUGACCAGGAUCAACAAAUUGCAAUUGCAUUAUAUAGAAAAAAUCACAUGGACAGAGACAGUGUUCAUUCUGUAUACUGUGAAGCGAAUGCCAGAAUUUUUUGGGGAGUCAUCAUGCCCCAGUCUCCCCUACAACUAUGUCAUCUGGUAAAACACUGACAACGAGUAAGCGAGCGCACGAGAUACAAGAACCAGUCACACUAGGCAUCCGACCCCGAGCGAUCUUUAGCGAACAAAAAUUACGCACUCCAUCUUUCGUGCCAAUUCCAGAUUCCAGCGGCGAGGCGCUUCAAUGGCCAGCUAAUAACUUCGCCAUUUUGCGACAAUUGAUGAUAAGUAAAAUUUUCUUGUACUGUCGAAAUGUGAGUUAAAAUACACUCGAAAUUUUAAAAAGCUUCGUUAGUUAUCUCCCAUUAAAAAAAAAUAGCCGACAAUCAACGUUUCGCUUAGAAAUUAUCGUAUUUGAUUGAUUAAAAAAAAAAAAAAAAAAAAACUUUUGUGCACUUUUCCCGAUCUUUCAUAUAGUAGCAUUUAAAGUACCCGGUUUUCACUUUGAACCGACAUGAAAAAUAUUUUUUCUCCAUUAUCUGACUUUAUUAUUGACCUUUUUUCGGCGUUACUUAAAUAUUUAGCUAUAUAAUUAUUGAUUGCUUUCAGUUUUUAACCAUUUGUAUACGAUAAAAGUACAGAAUGAAUAACAAAUAAUGAAUUAUUUUUAUGUAAACCAAUAAGAAAAAGCUAUG